rnacentral:rRNA from 1 species
CACGUAGUUAGCCGUGGCUUAUUCACCAGGUACCUUCAAUUAGUUCCGCAGAACCGUUUUAUCCCCUGGCAAAAGCAGUUUACAACGCAUAACGCCUUCUUCCUGCACGCGGCAUGGCUGGAUCAGGCUCUCACCCAUUGUCCAAUAUUCCCUACUGCUGCCUCCCGUAGGAGUCUGGCCCGCAUCUCAGUGCCAGUGUGGGGGAUCACCCUCUCAGGUCCCCUAUUGAUCAUCGUCUUGGUAGUCCGUUACACUGCCAACUAACUAAUCAAACGCAUGCCCAUCUUGUACCACCUCAGUUUUAAUCAUUCGAUGAUGCCACCAAAUGAUAUUAUGGAGGGUUAAUUCGGUUUUCACCGAGCUAUACUCCUGUACAAGGUAGGUUGCAUACGUGUUACGCACCCGUACGACACUCUAGGUUCAGUAUUGCUACCAAACUUACCGUUCGUCUUGCAUGUAUUAAGCCUGCCGCUAGCGUUCAUCCUGAGCCAGGAU